CCCACAUGAAUCUGAUACUCCUGAGUCACACUCUUCCUGAGUUAUAAGCUGAGGGUGGAUUUGCCAAGGGACAUUUCUGGACCAAGAUGAAACGCUGAAUGACUGCGAGUGAAAGCAGAGGGUGCCAAAGACAGGGAGGGUCCCUGCAGAGCACCACACAGCUUCAGAACCCCAAAGGAGGCAGCUGCACAGGCUGAAAGGCUCCCUUCUGAUGACUUCUCCUGCCCCAAGCCGAUUCCAGCCCCCCCAUCCCGUCCAAGCCACCACCGUCACCUCAAACCCGCUUCCUAGCAUGCGCUCUCACCUGCUUCCUUGAGUACACACUGUGUUCAAGCCCUAACCCCAGGUAGCUGCAAAUGAGAUCAUUCCAGGAAAAAGGUUUCUGCAGAUGUGACCAAGGUAGGACGAGGUCACCCGCAACUGAAGGGUCUAAGCCCGUGCCCAAUGGCCUCAUAAGAAGAGCGGACGCAAGCAUACAAGGGAGAAGCCAUGGAAUGACAGAGGCAGAGGUUGGAGGGAUGUGGCUACAGCCGCAGAAUGCGAAGGAUUUCCAGAACCACCGGAAGCUGGAGGAGCCAAUGAGGGCGCCUCACUAGAGCUCUCGGCUAGAACAAGACCCUGCUGACGCCUGGACUUCGGAGUCCGUCUGACCUCCAGGACUGUGUUAACACGCUUCUGUUGUUUGAA